GGGGAAUAUUGCACAAUGGAGGGAACUCUGAUGCAGCGACGCCGCGUGAGUGAAGAAGGUCUUCGGAUCGUAAAACUCUGUCCUUGGUGAAGAUAAUGACGGUAACCAAGGAGGAAGCCCCGGCUAACUACGUGCCAGCAGCCGCGGUAAUACGUAGGGGGCGAGCGUUGUCCGGAAUUACUGGGCGUAAAGGGUGAGUAGGCGGUUGUAUAUGUCAGGUGUAAAAGGCGUGGGCUCAACCCACGUUAGCACUUGAAACUGUACAACUUGAGUGCAGGAGAGGUAAGCGGAAUUCCUAGUGUAGCGGUGAAAUGCGUAGAUAUUAGGAGGAACACCGGUGGCGAAGGCGGCUUACUGGACUGUAACUGACGCUGAGUCACGAAAGCGUGGGUAGCAAAC
rnacentral:rRNA from 1 species